rnacentral:rRNA from 1 species
AUUGAACGCUGGCGGCAUGCCUAACACAUGCAAGUCGAACGAGUGGCGGACGGGUGAGUAAUGUCUGGGAAACUGCCUGAUGGAGGGGGAUAACUACUGGAACCGGUAGCUACUACCGCAUAACACAGUAUGUGCCCAGAUGGGAUUAGCUAGUCGGUGUGGUAACGGCUCACCUAGGCGACGCUCCCUAGCUGGUCUGCGAGGAUGACCAGCCACACUGGAACUGAGACACGGUCCAGACUCCGACGGUAGGCAGCAGUGGGGAAUAUUGCACAAUGGGCGCAAGCCUGAUGCAGCCAUGCCGCGUGUAUGAAGAAGGCCUUCGGGUUGUAAAGUACUUUCAGCGGGGAGGCGUUACCCGCAGAAGAAGCACCGGCUAACUCCGUGCCAGCAGCCGCGGUAAUUC